ACCAGGAUAGGGAUCUUCCUCGGGCGCCAUGGCAGUGAAGAGACACACCAAGCAGGAGACCCUGGCCCUGCGGAAGCAGCUUAUCGGGUAGGAAGGCGCUCAGAGGGGACCAGGGACCUAGUUGGCAGAGGCUCAAGUGAAAUCCGAGGGAGGUCAGGUUGGCCCAGGCCAGGGUGCCACGUGUUCAGCGAGGGUGGGCAGCAGGACCCAGACUUCAGGGCACUCUCCACUCCCAGACCCUUGACUUCUGCCCACUGUGUCCCCUCCUCCCAUCCCAUUUGCCCCAAGUCUCGAUCCCUGCGUAAGGGUCAAUGUCUACUGCAGUGUUCCCACCUGGGAUUGUCCAAUUGCUGAUUGGACAUCUCCAGGGAAUGAGAAGUUCACUACUCCCCGAGACAACCCAUUCCAACUCUUGGACUACUCUAAUUGUUUGGAAGUUUUCCCUUGAUGUCUAAGCUAAUUUUAAUUCUUUUCGACUUCUACCCAUUCCUUUUAAGUCUGAUCUCUCGGGUGAGGCAGAACAAGUCUAUUUUCUUCCCUCUCGGAGUGACAGACCUUCAUAUACUUGAAGGCAUAAGAGAAGGGGAACUAGGCUUGCAGUCAGAAGACUGUGCAGUUUAGGAGUUCUUAUCCUGAGGUCCCUAACCUUCUUUUAAAUAUAUUUUAAUAAUUUUCUAUUAACAUAAUUGUUUUCCUUUUUGAUUCCAUGUAUCUUAUUUUAUGCAUGUAAAAGCAUUCUGAGAAGGGAUUCACAGACUUCACCAGAAGGACAAAGUGGGCCCUGACCCUAAAAAAGUUAAGAAUCUCUACUUAAGCAGUUCGUGUCCUGACUGGGGACCCCAGACCCUCAAAAUACUGAGUAAUUUCAGAGUUUCUAGACCAAUACAUAAUGUAACCAGGAGCAUUUUCCAGCUUGAACUUGAAGCUCUC
rnacentral:lncRNA from 1 species